CUGGGUGCAGCAGGCGCGAAACCUUUGCCAUAGGCGAAAGCCUGACAGGGUUACUCUGAGUGAUGUCCGCUAAGGAGAUCUUUAGGCACCUCUAAAAUGGUGCAGAAUAAGGGGUGGGCAAGUCUGGUGUCAGCCGCCGCGGUAAUACUAGCACCCCGAGUGGUCGGGAUGUUUAUUGGGCGUAAAGCAUCUGUAGCCGGUUCGCCAAGUCCUCCGGUAAAUCCACAAGGAUAACAGGUGGUCCGCCGAAGACACGAAAUACCUAUGAGGUGGGAGAGGCUAGAGGUACUCGAUGUGUAGGGGUAACAUCCCAUGAUCCAUUGAAGACCUCCCGUGGGGAAGGUGGCUCGCCAGAACGCCCUUGACGGUGAGGGAAGAAAGGUGGGCGAGCAAACCGGAUGAGAUACCCGGGUAGUCCCAGCCGUUAACGACGCAGACCUCGGUGAUGAAUUGGCUUUAGGCAUCUUCAGUGCCGCAGGGAGAGCCGUUACGUUUGCCGCUUCGGGAGUACGGUCGCAAGCCUGAAAACUUAAAGGAAUCGGCGGGCGAGCAC
rnacentral:rRNA from 1 species